rnacentral:siRNA from 1 species
CAACCUGAUUUUUUAUUCUAGAAC